AACUCCGGUGGUAUGAGAUGGACCCGCGUCUGAUUAGCUAGUUGGUGAGGUAACGGCCCACCAAGGCGACGAUCAGUAGCCGGCCUGAGAGGGCGACCGGCCACAUUGGGACUGAGACACGGCCCAAACUCCUACGGGAGGCAGCAGUGGGGAAUAUUGCACAAUGGGGGAAACCCUGAUGCAGCGACGCCGCGUGAGUGAAGAAGUAUUUCGGUAUGUAAAGCUCUAUCAGCAGGGAAGAAGAAAGACGGUACCUGACUAAGAAGCCCCGGCUAACUACGUGCCAGCAGCCGCGGUAAUACGUAGGGGGCAAGCGUUAUCCGGAUUUACUGGGUGUAAAGGGAGCGUAGACGGCUGUGCAAGUCUGAAGUGAAAGCCCAGGGCUCAACCCUGGGACUGCUUUGGAAACUGUGGAGCUAGAGUGCUGGAGAGGUAAGUGGAAUUCCUAGUGUAGCGGUGAAAUGCGUAGAUAUUAGGAGGAACACCAGUGGCGAAGGCGGCUUACUGGACAGUAACUGACGUUGAGGCUCGAAAGCGUGGGGAGCAAACAGGAUUAGAUACCCUGGUAGUCCACGC
rnacentral:rRNA from 1 species